rnacentral:rRNA from 1 species
AUUGAACGCUGGCGGCAUGCUUUACACAUGCAAGUCGAACGGCAGCACGGGGGCUUGCUCCUGGUGGCGAGUGGCGAACGGGUGAGUAAUGCAUCGGAACGUACCCAGUAGUGGGGGAUAGCCCGGCGAAAGCCGGAUUAAUACCGCAUAUUUCCUGAGGGAGAAAGCGGGGGACCUUCGGGCCUCGCGCUACUGGAGCGGCUGAUGUCGGAUUAGCUAGUUGGUGAGGUAAAGGACGUCACCAAGGCGACGAUCCGUAGCUGGUCUGAGAGGAUGAUCAGCCACACUGGGACGUGAGACACGGCCCAGACUCCUACGGGAGGCAGCAGUGGGGAA